UACGAAGGGUGCAAGCGUUAAUCGGAAUUACUGGGCGUAAAGCGUGCGCAGGCGGUUUUGUAAGCCAGAUGUGAAAUCCCCGGGCUUAACCUGGGAAUGGCAUUUGGGACUGCAAGGCUGGAGUUUGGCAGAGGAGACUGGAAUUCCCGGUGUAGCAGUGAAAUGCGUAGAUAUCGGGAGGAAUACCGAUGGCGAAGGCAGGUCUCUGGGCUAUAACUGACGCUCAUGCACGAAAGCGUGGGGAGCAAACAGG
rnacentral:rRNA from 1 species